rnacentral:piRNA from 1 species
GAGAACCUGAACCAUAGGGAUAGGGACCA